rnacentral:rRNA from 1 species
GAUGAACGCUAGCGGCAGGCUUAACACAUGCAAGUCGAGGGGCAGCGGGAUGUAGCAAUACAUUGCCGGCGACCGGCGCAAGGGUGCGUAACGCGUGAGCAACUUGCCCGUUUCUGGGGAAUAACCGGUGGAAACGCCGACUAAUACCCCAUAGCAUCAACUUUGGGCAUCCUUAGUUGAUUAAAGAACUUCGGAAACGGAUAGGCUCGCGUGACAUUAGCUAGAUGGCGGGGUAACGGCCCACCAUGGCUACGAUGUCUAGGGGUUCUGAGAGGAAGGUCCCCCACACUGGAACUGAGACACGGUCCAGACUCCUACGGGAGGCAGCAGUGAGGAAUAUUGGUCAAUGGUCUGACGACUGAACCAGCCAUGCCGCGUGAAGGUCACGGCCCUAUGGGUCUUAAACUUCUUUUGUAAGGGAGCAAUAAGCUUUACGUGUAGAGUGAUGAGAGUACCUUACGAAUAAGCAUCGGCUAACUCCGUG